GAUGAAGAACGUAGCGAAAUGCGAUAAGUAAUGUGAAUUGCAGAAUUCAGUGAAUCAUCGAAUCUUUGAACGCACAUUGCGCCCGUCAGUAUUCUGGCGGGCAUGCCUGUUCGAGCGUCAUUACGCCCCUCAAGUCCCCUGUGGACUUGGUGUUGGGGAUCGGCGAGGCUGGUUUUCCAGCACAGCCGUCCCUUAAAUUAAUUGGCGGUCUCGCCGUGGCCCUCCUCUGCGCAGUAGUAAAACACUCGCAACAGGAGCCCGGCGCGGUCCACUGCCGUAAAACACCCCCACUUUUUAUAGUUGACCUCGAAUCAGGUAGGACUACCCGCUGAACUUAAGCAUAUCAAUAAGCGGAGGA
rnacentral:misc_RNA from 1 species